GGCUAUCAUGCAGUCGAGCGAACGGACGAGAAGCUUGCUUCUCUGAUGUUAGCGGCGGACGGGUGAGUAACACGUGGAUAACCUACCUAUAAGACUGGGAUAACUUCGGGAAACCGGAGCUAAUACCGGAUAAUAUUUUGAACCGCAUGGUUCAAAAGUGAAAGACGGUCUUGCUGUCACUUAUAGAUGGAUCCGCGCUGCAUUAGCUAGUUGGUAAGGUAACGGCUUACCAAGGCAACGAUGCAUAGCCGACCUGAGAGGGUGAUCGGCCACACUGGAACUGAGACACGGUCCAGACUCCUACGGGAGGCAGCAGUAGGGAAUCUUCCGCAAUGGGCGAAAGCCUGACGGAGCAACGCCGCGUGAGUGAUGAAGGUCUUCGGAUCGUAAAACUCUGUUAUUAGGGAAGAACAUAUGUGUAAGUAACUGUGCACAUCUUGACGGUACCUAAUCAGAAAGCCACGGCUAACUACGUGCCAGCAGCCGCGGUAAUACGUAGGUGGCAAGCGUUAUCCGGAAUUAUUGGGCGUAAAGCGCGCGUAGGCGGUUUUUUAAGUCUGAUGUGAAAGCCCACGGCUCAACCGUGGAGGGUCAUUGGAAACUGGAAAACUUGAGUGCAGAAGAGGAAAGUGGAAUUCCAUGUGUAGCGGUGAAAUGCGCAGAGAUAUGGAGGAACACCAGUGGCGAAGGCGACUUUCUGGUCUGUAACUGACGCUGAUGUGCGAAAGCGUGGGGAUCAAACAGGAUUAGAUACCCUGGUAGUCCACGCCGUAAACGAUGAGUGCUAAGUGUUAGGGGGUUUCCGCCCCUUAGUGCUGCAGCUAACGCAUUAAGCACUCCGCCUGGGGAGUACGACCGCAAGGUUGAAACUCAAAGGAAUUGACGGGGACCCGCACAAGCGGUGGANCAUGUGGUUUAAUUCGAAGCACCGCGAAAAACCUUACAAAUCUNGACAUCCUUUGACAACUCUANANAUAGANCCUUNCCCCUUCGGGGGACAAAGUGACAGGUGGUGCAUGGUUGU
rnacentral:rRNA from 1 species